UAAUAAAUUAAGGUUCUAUUCAACAUGGAACAAAGGGGAAAAUAUACAGGAUGGGUAGAAAGAGGUGUGAUACUUGGCUUGAUUCAGGGAAACUACAAACUACAGGAUAGACAAGAAUAUACCAAUCCUAAGGAUCCGUAGGAUUAAUUGUGGAUCCAAGACAACAAUUGAAAGAUUUGAGUCUUAGAUUUUGAUUUAGUUUUCUAGAUUUUGUAUUUCAAAUCUUGUAUAUCU
rnacentral:lncRNA from 1 species